AACGUGCUCAUUGUAUAUUUUCAUGUUUCCCUUUGAUUUCUAUUUUGCCCAGAGGGAGAAGAAGAUGACGAUGAAGAGGAUGAAGAAGAUGAAGAGGAAGAAGAGGAAGAUGAGGAAGAGGAUGAGGAGGAUAAAGAUGCAGACUCCCUGGAUGAGAGCUUUGAUGGCGACUCUGAGGUGCCGAGUUUCACUCUCCCUGGCAUCACAUCCCAGGAACCCGGCUUAGAGCAGGGAAACAUGGACCCUUUGGAGGGAGCCACCUACCAGGUGCCCGAUGCCAUUGAGUGGGAACAGCAGAAUCAAGGCCUGGUGAGAAGCUGGAUGGAGAAACUAAAAGAUAAGGCUGGCUACAUGUCUGGAAUGCUGGUUCCUGUAGGGGUGGGGAUAGCUGGAGCCUUGUUCAUCUUGGGGGCACUCUACAGCAUUAAGGUUAUGAAUCGCCAAAGGAGAAAUGGCUUCAAAAGGCAUAAAAGAAAGCAGAGAGAAUUCAACAGCAUGCAAGAUCGAGUAAUGCUCUUAGCUGACAGCUCUGAAGAUGAAUUUUGA
rnacentral:lncRNA from 1 species